AAUGAAUCUGCUAUUAUACUUUGGACAUAACAGUGACAUCAAAAUUGACAGUUAUUUUUUCUGCAGAAUCGGAAUGUAAGGUCAGAAAACGAUACCAGUGACAUGAGCAUAUCGGCCAACUCCACAGUCUGCACAAGAUAAGAGUUGGCUACCACAGGAUCAGAGUUGAUGAUAGAAAGGAGUGACCAAGACCAUGAACUUAUUCAGAAAAGGCUAAACAAACCAUGAUGGCAUGAGAUGGGAAACUUCACCCUGUUGAAAGCCUAACAUGUCUCCAUUCCUACUCGUCACGGCUAAAAUUUUCUUUAUAAGAGUUAUCAAAUAAAUGCAAAAUAAAACAGACAGCAGUUGUAUCAAUGUUGUAGUGUUAUUAUCUACUUGACUCUUGCCGAGUCCAAUACAAAAAGAUUUCAUAAAGCAGUUUGGGAGCAGAUAUACCUUACAAGCAAGAUAUUUCCCAAUAUAAACUACUCCCUCCGUAAACUAAUAUAAGAGUGUUUAGAUUACUGUUUUAGUGAUCUAUAAACGCUCUUAUAUUAGUUUACAGAGGGAGUAUAUCUACAUUCAUACUAAUUCUACAUUGACAAAAAUUGUCUCCCAGUAUGGACAUCCAUACUGCUACCCAGCCAUUCCUCCAAGGCAGCAUAUACAUUUCAGAAUCUUGAAACCACUGUUUGCUGCUAAGAACAUGAACAAUAUGAUCCAGAGAAAGCUAAGCCGAACCCUCGAGAGACAGCAUAUACAUUUCAGAAUCUUGAAACCAUUGUUUACUGCUAAGAACAUGAACAAUAUGAUCCAGAGAAAGCUAAGCCGAACCCUCGAGAGACAGCAUAUACAUUUCAGAAUCUUGAAAUGUAAACUAAUGUUGGUGCCAUUGCUCCCCCGAAGGAGGUAGAAAUCAAUAUCCGAAUGAUAAAGCAGAAGAUAGCAAGACAUAUUUCAUCUAUAUGGCAACUUGCUGUCGACGGAAUCCCGCACUUUCAUUACAACCACACUCAUCAAGAUAGAAGACAAGUUCAAGUUGGAAGGUAAAUUUUCAUCAAGCUACUGAUUAUAUUCAGAGUUUUCACUACAGAAAGACAAGGAAACUACAGAUUACAUUCAGGGUUGUUCACUUUGAAUAGCAAGGAAUAUUUCAUCUAUAUCGCAACUUCUUGUCAAGGGAAUCCUGCACUUUCAUUGUGAAGCAGAGACGACAGGUUUGAAUGUAAACCUACGAUUGAGUAAUCCAGAGCAAUGAGAUUAGGUGCACACUAAGGUUCCUUGUAGCUAAGCUGAUCCCUCGAGAGUGUUGAUGCUUAGCCAGCCAGUGCAGCUGAGCAGCCUUCUCUUGGCGGGGGGAGAGUCGAAGCCACCUUCAGAGGGCAGGAGCAACUUGUGGACCCGCUUCGACAUGCCCUUGUCACUAAGCUUCGUGGGGAAUUUGGAGACCAGCACGUUUACCCAGGUCUUGUCCGGACUGGAAUCUGCGGGUGCUGGAGGAGCCACCGGCGUCGGAGAGUGUGCUGCUGGAGCUGGGGGAGAGCGUGCUGCUGGAGCCAGAGGAGCCACCGGGGCUGGUGCCGGGGCUGGAGGAACGGGCACUGCCAGCGCUGGGGCUGGAGGUGCGGGCGCGGCCAGCGCUGGGACUGGAGCUGGUGCUGGAGGUGCGGGCGCGGCCAGCGCUGGGNNNNNNNNNNUCACCGCGGCCUCUGGAGCCGCGGGAGGAGGAGGAGCGUUCACCGCGGCCGAAGGAGCCGCGGGAGGAGGAGGAGCGGCCGCAGACGUCUUCCUGGGCGACCGGUAGAGCUUGGCGCAGCACAUCGUCUCGCCUGGGAGGCGGACCUCAACGAGAAUCCAUCCGAGCCGCUCCGUCCUCCUCUUCUUGUCGGGGCCUUUUGUCCGCUUGCCGUAGGUGAAGGUACUCGCGUGUCCGAUCACGACCCAGCCGCCGUCGGCACCGGCCUUCUCGACGGGCCUGGUUCGCUCCUCGAUCCAGGUCGCGCCGCCCGCUUUGCGGCUGCAGCGGGAGGAUGAGCCCUCCUUGCGCGCGGGGGUGUAGAGGAAGAACCAAGCGGUGGAUCCGUCCUCCGCGAUGACCUUCUUGCGGUCGGCGGUGAGAAGGACCGGGCUGGCAGCGUAGACGUUCACCUCGUGGACCCACGCCGGGAGCUCGCCGGUCUCGGCGUGGCGGCGGAGCACCGCGACGAGCGUGUGCUCCCCCGGCAAGGAGUCGAGGGCCUCCUCCUCCUCCAUGGAGGCGGCGGGCGGCGGCGGGAUUGGGUGGGGAUCGCCGGAUUGGGUGGGGAUUGGGGAUCGGCCUCGGGCUCGGGCUCGGGAGAGGGAGAGGGGGUGGAUUGGGGACGGGGACGGGGACGGCACCGAAACAAAACAGUAACCGCCGUCCCGCUCCCUGCCCCCAUUUAACGGAGGGCGGCUAUGUCGGUUCGCGGGCAGCUGUGGCUGACGUGCGGGCCCAGCCUGAAGCUGGCCCGCACGUCAGCGUCUCGCCACGGCCAGUGGGCUUGCCAACGCCGUCCGCCUUUUCCGUCCCAGUGUCCGUUGGCCCAUAGGACCCGCUGUCAGCUGCUUGCAAAUUCCCCUGCUACUUUGCAUAUAGGCCCCCCUCUUUAUAUCUAAUUCGUGCUGGAAAUGGAAUUUGACGCUCUGCUUCCAGACUCCUCUCUGUCUCCAAUUCUGCUGGAAUGCAACGCACAAGAAUUCUCCUUCAAACUACCAUUCCUGCCCUGUUGGGGUUUUGUGACAACUUUGUAAAACUCAUAGCAUCAAAGUUGAAGGUCAAGGACACGGACACGGACACGGUGAUCCCAGCAAUGGCGAAUCCGUGGCAUCAAGGUGGCUCCCGGAAAUACUUGUCAUCAAAAUGGAUGGAAAUGGAUGUAUCUACAACUAAAAUACAUCUAGAUACAUCCAUUUUCAAUGACAAGUAUUUCCGGAAGGAGGGAGUACAUCACAAGGUGCGGCCGAGGUCGGUCAUAUCCUGCAUAUUUACGAGGCCGCUCCCGGGAAGAUGGUUAACCGGGAUAAGUCGUCUAUCUAUCAUGUCCAGCAACAACACUAGGGAGACCUGCCGUCAAGCAUGUGGUGACGCAGGCGCUAGGGUUGCAGCAACGAACGACCAAUGGUAAAUACCUUGGUUCAGUAACACAAUGCUUUGAGUACACCAGAGACCGCUUGUGGAAAAACAAUCCUGGGUUCGCUCGAACUGGAACCCUUCUUGUCAGUGGACUGGAAGGAAAGGAGAUCAUGGUUAAGCCCAUCGCCCAAGCAAUUCCUGCUUCCGCUAUGUAUGACCUGUUUUGGUCUAACCAAAGGCUUGUGUGAGGAGCCGAGCAAUCUCACUUGCAGAUAUCGGUGCUCGCAGCACAAGGACCAAGAGAAGAUGCACUCGGUGGGCAUGGAGCAAAAAGAAAUUGCCCCGGAGCAAAAAACGAGGCCUGGGACUCAGGGAGAGCUCUGUAUAUGUUAUGUGGGGAGCUUGGAUUUCUUCCAUCUCAAGAAGAAAAGAGGUGGUGCUGCAAAGGCUGUGAUUCAACAUUUCUUCUAUCUGGAAUCCAGCCCCCGGUAGGCCUGUGUGUCAACAGCCGCUGUCAAUGACAUCAGCGCUGCUACUGCACGGGAGGUCUUCGCCGUCACAUUUGGCACGUUGGUUGGACAGGGAACCAGGCCGCUGCCAAGGUGUUGGCAUGGCAUGGACCGCGACAGAGGCAAGAUGUAUAUUCUUAUUCUGUGCAUGCAAAUGAAAUAAUCCAGCGACAAUCUAUCUAGACCGUCCGAGCAAAGCAAGAUCACCGUGGCCACAACCAUAAUGCAUUCUAGUAAGCAUUGCGCAUUUCAGACCACAAGAAUACAACAUGCUAAAGAAAUGAACUAAGGUCGUGACCAUACCAUGCUGUAAAUGGGUGGCAUGGCAAUCUCCCAGUUUCACUUCUUCAGGGGCAUGACCGGCUGGUGGAGUGAUGCUUCAGGGAUCCUGAAGUUCCAC
rnacentral:rRNA from 1 species